AGGUUUUCUAUGAAAGGAUAUACCACGUAGAUAAAGUCGGGGGCUAAAAUUAGAUUUAAUAUGUAAUUGAUGGUUAAAAGGUUAAAUUUCCUUUACCAUAAUAUAUAAUUUAAACAAAUAGUGACCUAUAAUUUUUAUUAUAUUUUUAAGAUAUAGUUUCUUAAUAUAAUAAAAAUAUAUAGCUAGAAAAAUGUACUUGUUAUAUAUAUAUUAUGCCCGUACUAAAACUGACACAAGUAAGCAAGUAUAAAUGUACUAAGGAGUACGAAAUAACUUUCUCUAAGGAACUCGGCAAAAUAAUCCUGUAACUUCGGGAAAAAGGAUACCCUAAGGGUUGCAAUGAAAAGAUCCAAGCGACUGUUUAUCAAAAACACAAGUCUCCGCUAAGUUUAAUUACAAUGUAAGGAGACUGACACCUGCCCAGUGCUGGUAAGUUAAAAAAAAUAUUUUUAAUAUAAGUAUUUUUAUAAGCUCCAGUAAACGGCGGCUGUAACUAUAACGGUCCAAAGGUAGCGAAAUUCCUUGUCGGGUAAGUUCCGACCUGCACGAAAGGUGUAACGACUUGGAUGCUGUCUUGGAGAAAGAUUCGGUGAAAUAGAAAUGUCUGUGAAGAUACGGACUAUCUACACCAGGACAGAAAGACCCUAUGAAGCUUUACUAUAUUUUGAAAUUAAAAAUAAAAUAUAUUUGUGUAGAAUAAGUGGGAAACAAAUUAAUUUGUUUAUCUUGAAAUACCACUCUUAUAUAUUUUAUUUUUUUAUUAUAAUAUUGUUAACCAAUUAUAAGAAAAUUUUAAAAAGGUAGUUUGACUGGGGCGGUAGCCUCCUAAAAAGCAACGGAGGUGUACAAAGGUCUUUUUUUAAUUUAAAAAAUUUUUAAAUUAAAACUAUAAAGGGAUAAAAGGCUUGAUUGCAAGAGUUACUACUCGAGCAAGGACGAAAGUCGGUCUUAAUGAUCCGACAGUUCUUUGUGGAAAGGCUGUCGAUU
rnacentral:rRNA from 1 species